CCUACGGGUGGCAGCAGUGAGGAAUAUUGGUCAAUGGCCGAGAGGCUGAACCAGCCAAGUCGCGUGAGGGAAGACGGCCCUACGGGUUGUAAACCUCUUUUGUCGGGGAGCAAAGAGAGUCACGUGUGACUCAUUGAGAGUACCCGAAGAAAAAGCAUCGGCUAACUCCGUGCCAGCAGCCGCGGUAAUACGGAGGAUGCGAGCGUUAUCCGGAUUUAUUGGGUUUAAAGGGUGCGCAGGCGGAGGUGCAAGUCAGCGGUCAAAUUGCGGGGCUCAACCCCGUACUGCCGUUGAAACUGCAUCCCUUGAGUGCGCGAGAAGUAUGCGGAAUGCGUGGUGUAGCGGUGAAAUGCAUAGAUAUUAGGAAGAACACCAGUGGCGAAGGCGGCUUUCUGGACUGAAACUGACGCUGAGGCACGAAAGCGUGGGGAGCGAACAGGAUUAGAUACCCCAGUAGUC
rnacentral:rRNA from 1 species